rnacentral:rRNA from 1 species
GACGAACGCUGGCGGCGUGCUUAACACAUGCAAGUCGAACGGAAAGGCCCUGCUUUUGUGGGGUUCUCGAGUGGCGAACGGGUGAGUAACACGUGAGUAACCUGCCCUUGACUUUGGGAUAACUUCAGGAAACUGGGGCUAAUACCGGAUAGGAGCUCCUGCUGCAUGGUGGGGGUUGGAAAGUUUCGGCGGUUGGGGAUGGACUCGCGGCUUAUCAGCUUGUUGGUGGGGUAGUGGCUUACCAAGGCUUUGACGGGUAGCCGGCCUGAGAGGGUGACCGGCCACAUGGGGACUGAGAUACGGCCCAGACUCCUACGGGAGGCAGCAGUGGGAAAUAUUGCACAAUGGGCGGAAGCCUGAUGCAGCAACGUCGCGUGCGGGAUGACGGCCUUCGGGUUGUAAACCGCUUUCGCCUGUGACGAAGCGUGAGUGACGGUAAUGGGUAAAGAAGCACCGGCUAACUACGUG